UCAAACGGUCUGGCAUCCUUAUUGAUCUCCGCAGGAAGCGUUUGGAAGUAACUAGUAGAUGCUGUGAACCUGUACUUCCAUGCAAGGUGAGUUAUGUCCGUAUUGUUGCCCGAAUAGGUACACAAUCCCGACUCGUUUUGAGAAUGCUUGGCUCGCGGAGUAUAAA